UCUCCUUAUGAUUAAACCAAUUAGGGAACGUCCUCUAAUUAAUUACUAAUCAACAAAUUGCCAAGGAACGUCCUUGGGCCUUAGGCAUCAAAACAAGUGUCAAUUGCAUUAAGAAAUAGAGAGAUCCAAUCCUAGCUACCCAAACGUAUGGAGAUAACGCUAGAUCAAACAAUUUCCUUGGGUUUUAUUCCAAGUGUUCUCAUG
rnacentral:lncRNA from 1 species